rnacentral:lncRNA from 1 species
UGGUGGGCUGUUUUUUAAGCCCGUCGGAAAAGCGCAGUAUUAGGGUGGGAGUGACCCGAUUUUCCGGGUGCUGUCUGUCACCCCUUUGACUAGGAAAGGGAACUCCCUGACCCCUUGUGCUUCUCGAGUGAGGCAAUGCCUCGCCCUGCUUCGGCUCACGCACGGUGCACUGCACCCACUGUCCUGCACCCACUGUCUGGCACUCCCUAGUGAGAUGAACCCAGUACCUCAGAUGGAAAUGCAGAAAUCACCCGUCUUCUCCGUCACUCAUGCUGGGAGCUGUAGACCGGAGCUGUUCCUAUUCGGCCAUCUUGGCUCUCUCCCCUAUAAGAACUUUUAUAUAUGCUGUUACUUUAAUGCCCCAAGAAUCUUGAACUAAAUAUAUAUUUAUUUCAGUUUGCAAAAUAGGAAAAUUUUAACUCAGAAAAAUUAAAUAACUUGAUCAAGACAAUAAAUAAAUAACUGGAAUUUGCCCCCUGUAGCUUCAGCCUGAUGUUUUAAUUUGCUUUCUAUUAUUCAUUAUAUUUAAUUAAUCUAAUCUUCUGAUAUUCAGUAUAUCUCCUUCAGGCUCCAAUAUUUUUAUUCAUCAAGCUAGCUGGAUCUGAUUAAAUUAGUAGACUUUCCAAAUUAAGAAUGCCAAGUAAUUUUAUUAUGUUUGCUCUGUUUCUUAGGACUGCUUUCUCUCUAAUCACUUGCCUUAUUAGUUGGUCAUUGACUGUGAAAAAAGAAAGCCUUCCAGUUUUAUGAGAUAGAACUUAAAUGGUCCUUUGGAGAUUGUGAACUUCACAUCCUUAGAGGAAAUGUCAGGAAAAUUGAAGUCCUCAUGGUUUGGCUGAAUAUUCUUCCUGGAACUUUUUGAAACAAGAACUCAGUGUGCAACAGUUAAAUUGGAUAACUUUUUCACAGCGCGUAUCCCAAAACCCUGGGACCCUAGGUUACAUGCCAUUUCCACAUCUCCUCUUUUCCCACUACUUUGUUAUUUACUGAUUGGGUAGAGAAAAUGAGACUGUUUAUUAAAAUUCACACAUACAUAGAGACUUUAUUUAAACAUAGGUGUGUGUAAUUUUCAAUCAAAAUGGUGUCUAGUGUUUUGCUUUGUUCCCAGUACAAUAAAUUAUGUAUAUUUAAUAAUUUUAAAAAAUAAAACCAAUGAUGGAUACUCUUAAGGUUUAGGUUAAGAUUCCAAAUGCUACUAAUCAAGGUUUGAAACAGACAGUUCCUUUAAAGGGAUAAACAGGCAACUCAUGUAAAACAUACGCUAACUGGAGUAACAUAGGCUCUGACAAUUAACUAAAUAAAGAAAAUGGCAUCAUGGAGGGUAGAUGUUCAGAAUCCAGAAGCAAAUUUGGAGAAAUAUUAUUGUGAUAUAUAAGAAUGCAGAAAAAAAAUUCAGGAAAUGCAAAAAUGAUCUGUAAAAUGGUAAAUGUUUUAAAGAAAUUAUACCAUAUGCAUGGAACAUUUUAAUGACUUGUAGAUAUCUCCUCAUAUGCAAGGUAUCAUUCUGGUUGCUAUUUGCUAAGUGGCAAGAGAUAGCACCCUCUCAGUGGAAGAGUAGGGAAAGGGGAGUCACUGUAUUCUCACUUCUCAUGUACACCAGCUAACUAAUUUUGGAGCAACUGACAAAAUAUUAUCAAGCUGCAAUGUUAAAGAAAAAAGAGAUCCCAUUUGUCAAUUUUGUCUUUUGUUGCCAUUGCUUUUGGUGUUUUAGACAUGAAGUCCUUGCCCAUGCCUAUGUCCUGAAUGGUAUUGCCUAGGUUUUCUUCUAGGGUUUUUAUGGUUUUAGGUCUGACGUUUAAGUCUUUAAUCCAUCUUGAAUUGAUUUUUGUAUAAGGUGUAAAGAGCUUCUGUACAGCAAAAGAAACUACCAUCAGAAUGAACAGGCAACCUACAAAAUGGGAGAAAAUUUUUGCAACCUACUCAUCUGACAAAGGGCU